CUCGCUGACGAGCGGCGGACGGGUGAGUAACGCGUAGGAAUCUGCCCGGUAAUGGGGGAUAGCCCGGAGAAAUCCGGAUUAAUACCGCAUACGCCCUAUGGGGGAAAGGUGGCCUCUUCUUGAAAGCUACCGUUAUCGGAUGAGCCUGCGUCGGAUUAGCUAGUUGGUGGGGUAAUGGCCCACCAAGGCGACGAUCCGUAGCUGGUCUGAGAGGAUGAUCAGCCACACUGGGACUGAGACACGGCCCAGACUCCUACGGGAGGCAGCAGUGGGGAAUAUUGGACAAUGGGCGCAAGCCUGAUCCAGCCAUGCCGCGUGUGUGAAGAAGGCCUUCGGGUUGUAAAGCACUUUCAGCAGGGAGGAAAGGUUAUUGGUUAAUACCCAAUAGCUGUGACGUUACCUGCAGAAGAAGCACCGGCUAACUCCGUGCCAGCAGCCGCGGUAAUACGGAGGGUGCGAGCGUUAAUCGGAAUUACUGGGCGUAAAGCGUGCGUAGGCGGUGAUCUAAGUGGGAUGUGAAAGCCCCGGGCUCAACCUGGGAACUGCACCCCAAACUGGGUCGCUAGAGUACAGCAGAGGAGUGUGGAAUUUCCUGUGUAGCGGUGAAAUGCGUAGAUAUAGGAAGGAACACCAGUGGCGAAGGCGACACUCUGGGCUGAUACUGACGCUGAGGUACGAAAGCGUGGGGGAGCAAACAGGAUUAGAUACCCUGGUAGUCCACGCCGUAAACGAUGUCUACUAGCCGUCGGGGUCCUUGAGGCUUUGGUGGCGCAGCUAACGCGAUAAGUAGACCGCCUGGGGAGUACGGGCCGCAAGGUUAAAACUCAAAUGAAUUGACGGGGCCCGCACAAGCGGGGAGCAUGUGGUUUAAUUCGAAGCAACGCGAAGAACCUUACCUGGUCUUGACAUCCUGCGAACUUACUAGAGAUA
rnacentral:rRNA from 1 species